UACGUAGGGUCCAAGCGUUAAUCGGAAUUACUGGGCGUAAAGCGUGCGCAGGCGGCUUCGCAAGUCAGACGUGAAAUCCCCGGGCUUAACCUGGGAAUGGCGUUUGAAACUACGGAGCUGGAGUGUGGCAGAGGAAGGUGGAAUUCCCGGUGUAGCAGUGAAAUGCGUAGAGAUCGGGAGGAACACCAGUGGCGAAGGCGACACACUGGCCCAUUACUGACGCUGAGUCUCGAAAGCGUGGGGAGCAAACAGG
rnacentral:rRNA from 1 species